UACGUAGGGUGCGAGCGUUAAUCGGAAUUACCGGGCGUAAAGCGUGCGCAGGCGGUUUUUUAAGACAGGCGUGAAAUCCCCGGGCUUAACCUGGGAACUGCGUUUGUGACUGGAAGGCUAGAGUAUGGCAGAGGGGGGUGGAAUUCCACGUGUAGCAGUGAAAUGCGUAGAGAUGUGGAGGAACACCGAUGGCGAAGGCAGCCCCCUGGGCCAAUACUGACGCUCAUGCACGAAAGCGUGGGGAGCAAACAGG
rnacentral:rRNA from 1 species